UACGUAGGGUGCAAGCGUUAAUCGGAAUUACUGGGCGUAAAGCGUGCGCAGGCGGUUUUGUAAGUCUGUCGUGAAAGCCCCGGGCUCAACCUGGGAAUUGCGAUGGAGACUGCAAGGCUAGAGUUUGGCAGAGGGGGGUAGAAUUCCACGUGUAGCAGUGAAAUGCGUAGAUAUGUGGAGGAACACCGAUGGCGAAGGCAGCCCCCUGGGUCAAAACUGACGCUCAUGCACGAAAGCGUGGGGAGCAAACAGG
rnacentral:rRNA from 1 species